rnacentral:rRNA from 1 species
UACGGAGGGUGCAAGCGUUAUCCGGAUUCACUGGGCUUAAAGGGUGCGUAGGUGGGUAUGUAAGUCAGUGGUGAAAUCCCCGAGCUUAACUUGGGAACUGCCGUUGAUACUAUAUAUCUUGAAUAUCGCGUAGGUAAGCGGAAUAUGUCAUGUAGCGGUGAAAUGCUUAGAUAUGACAUAGAACACCAAUUGCGAAGGCAGCUUACUUCACGAUUAUUGACACUGAGGCACGAAAGCGUGGGGAGCAAACAGG